rnacentral:rRNA from 1 species
UACAGAGACUGCAAGCGUUAUUCGGAUUCACUGGGCGUAAAGGGUGCGCAGGCGGCCGAGUGUGUGAGGCGUGAAAGCCCGGGGCUUAACCCCGGAAUUGCACCUCAAACUACACGGCUAGAGCAUUGGAGAGGGUAGCAGAAUUCAUGGUGUAGCAGUGAAAUGCGUAGAUAUCAAGUGGAACACCAGUGGCGAAGGCGAAUCCCUGGAAAAUACCUGACACUGAGGCACGAAAGCUAAGGGGAGCAAACAGG